ACCCCAGAAUAUUAAGCCGACAGUUUGUGUCCACUGCCAUGACCUUGUUCUGUGACUAAUUCUGGGUACAUAAAGCCUCCCUGACCUGUGUAAGUGAAACUGGCGUCUUAGAGCCGGUUUCUCUAAGGUUUUGUCCGGGACA
rnacentral:snoRNA from 1 species